GAGCCUUCUUGGCCUUUUGGCUAAGAUCAUGUGUAGUAUCUGUUCUUAUCAGUGUAAUAUCUGACACCUCCUCUAUCUGAGGAGGACUGCCAAGGACUAAUGAUUUGUCUAAUCUGGUUAAGUUGCCCUCUAAUGUAGAAGUUAAAUUUUUCUUACCACUUUAGAGCUGUAUUUUCAGUCAUUAUUUUGGUAUUUAUUUU